UCGAACGGUGAGCAGAGCUUGCUCUGUGGAUCAGUGGCGAACGGGUGAGUAACACGUGAGCAACCUGCCCCUGACUCUGGGAUAAGCGCUGGAAACGGCGUCUAAUACUGGAUACGAACAAGAAUCGCAUGGUUACUUGUUGGAAAGAUUUAUUGGUUGGGGAUGGGCUCGCGGCCUAUCAGCUUGUUGGUGAGGUAAUGGCUCACCAAGGCGUCGACGGGUAGCCGGCCUGAGAGGGUGACCGGCCACACUGGGACUGAGACACGGCCCAGACUCCUACGGGAGGCAGCAGUGGGGAAUAUUGCACAAUGGGCGCAAGCCUGAUGCAGCAACGCCGCGUGAGGGAUGACGGCCUUCGGGUUGUAAACCUCUUUUAGCAGGGAAGAAGCGAGAGUGACGGUACCUGCAGAAAAAGCACCGGCUAACUACGUGCCAGCAGCCGCGGUAAUACGUAGGGUGCAAGCGUUAUCCGGAAUUAUUGGGCGUAAAGAGCUCGUAGGCGGUUUGUCGCGUCUGCUGUGAAAUCUGGGGGCUCAACCCCCAGCCUGCAGUGGGUACGGGCAGACUAGAGUGCGGUAGGGGAGAUUGGAAUUCCUGGUGUAGCGGUGGAAUGCGCAGAUAUCAGGAGGAACACCGAUGGCGAAGGCAGAUCUCUGGGCCGUAACUGACGCUGAGGAGCGAAAGGGUGGGGAGCAAACAGGCUUAGAUACCCUGGUAGUCCACCCCGUAAACGUUGGGAACUAGUUGUGGGGUCCAUUCCACGGAUUCCGUGACGCAGCUAACGCAUUAAGUUCCCCGCCUGGGGAGUACGGCCGCAAGGCUAAAACUCAAAGGAAUUGACGGGGACCCGCACAAGCGGCGGAGCAUGCGGAUUAAUUCGAUGCAACGCGAAGAACCUUACCAAGGCUUGACAUAUACGAGAACGGGCCAGAAAUGGUCAACUCUUUGGACACUCGUAAACAGGUGGUGCAUGGUUGUCGUCAGCUCGUGUCGUGAGAUGUUGGGUUAAGUCCCGCAACGAGCGCAACCCUCGUUCUAUGUUGCCAGCACGUAAUGGUGGGAACUCAUGGGAUACUGCCGGGGUCACUCGGAGGAAGGUGGGGAUGACGUCAAAUCAUCAUGCCCCUUAUGUUUGGGCUUCMGGMUGCUACAUGGCCGGUACAUGGGCUGNAWNACGUGAGGUGGACSAAUCCCAAAAGCCGGUCCAGUUCGGAUGAG
rnacentral:rRNA from 1 species